GGCCGGUGCGGAGCGGGACGGGUCGCUGCCCUCGGCCGCGGCGGGGACGAUGGAGCCGGGGGCCCUGAAGCUGCUCCCGCCGGACCCGGGAGAUGAGGGCACGCAGCGCUGCCGGCUGGGACCUGCCGUGCUGUCCUGGCUGGGGGCCCGGCUCGGCUCCCCGCUGCGGAUCUCGCUGCCCGGCGGGUGCUGCGUGUGCACGGCGUGGCCCCGGCACGACCUGGCCGACGGGUUCGUUCAGGCGGACCCGACCUGCAGCACCGCGGGCCUGGCCCCGCAGGCCCUGCGCGGGCUCUCGCUGGGUGUGCGGCAGCUGCAGCUGCUGCCCCACCGCCAGCUGGGGAAGGCGGCGGUCAGAGUGGUCCUCAGGAGCGCCGCGCUCAAGAAGUCGACCCCCAGAGCGGUGCUGCAGGAGACGAUCAGAGAACUGCUGAGAAAUGUUUAUGUUUUGCCUCAUUACGUUGUUGCUGUUGCCCCGAGUCCCGAAAACCCCGUGGUGCAUGUUGAAAUACUGUCUACAGACUCUUUGGCGGAGGAGGCUGGAUUGAUAACCCCCCAAACAAGCAUAAAAAUUAAGGAGGUGAUCACUUUAGAAUGGUACAGACAUUUGUCAGAAGGCACUGCAAAAACUUCGGUUGCAGGACUAGAUGACGUGAGAAAGUCUUUGAAAGAAAUGAUUGCUCUGCCUUUGCGCUUUCCAAAAACUUUUAAGAAGCUGGGGCUUUCCGUCCCUCGUGGAGUGCUGUUAAUUGGGCCCCCAGGUGUAGGGAAAACCCUUCUGGUAAAGGCAGUGGCAGAAGAGGUGGGUGCAUUUCUGUUUGGCGUCAGUGGCCCAGCCCUCCAUGGCUCCAGGCCAGGAGAAGGCGAAGAGAAUUUGCGGAGGGUCUUUGAAAAGGGCAGAGAAAUGUCGCAGGAAGGCCCAACCAUUCUCUUCUUUGAUGAAAUCGAUUCUUUGUGCCCGAAGCGAGGAAGUUCAAACAAUGCUCCUGAGGACCGGAUUGUUGCUCAGCUGCUGACGCUCCUGGAUGGUGUAAGGAGCGAGGGUAAGAUGGUCAUUGUGGCAGCAACAAACAGGCCGGACGCCUUAGACCCUGCCCUGAGGAGACCUGGCAGAUUUGACAGAGAGGUUAUUAUUGGGACCCCAACAGUUACACAAAGGAGAUCCAUCCUGCAGUUGCUGACAUCUAAUAUGCCCAUCUCUGCAGACGUUGAUGUGGCUGAGCUGGCAGAGAUGACCCCUGGGUACGUGGGCGCUGACCUCACAGCACUCUGCAGGGAAGCUGCUCUGCAGGCUGUGUCCCACAGCUCCUUGGACUCAGCUGAAACUGAAACCAGGAUUAACAUGGGAGAUUUCCAAGAAGCUUUUAAGAAAAUUCAACCAUCCUCUUUCCGAAGUGCAGUUGGACUAACAGAGUGCAAACCUGUGACUUGGGAGCAAAUUGGUGGGCUUGAAGAUGUAAAAUUAAAGUUAAAACAGAGCGUUGAGUGGCCGAUGAAGUUUCCUCAGGCAUUUGCUAGAAUGGGCCUGGCCCAUCCCAAGGGAAUCCUUCUCUAUGGGCCUUCUGGCUGUGCCAAAACCACGCUGGUGAGGGCUGUGGCCACCAGCUGUCACUGUUCCUUUCUCUCCGUGAGUGGUGCUGACCUGUUCUCCCCUUAUGUUGGAGACUCAGAGAAGAUUUUGUCUCAGGUUUUUCGCCAAGCAAGAGCAAACACUCCAGCAAUAAUAUUCCUGGAUGAGAUUGACUCUAUCCUGGGCUCUCGCUCCCACGGCAGAAGUGGCAGGGGGGUCUCUGAGCGGGUUCUGUCUGUUCUCCUCAAUGAGUUGGAUGGUGUUGGGCUCAAAGUUACCGAAAGAAGAGGAGGCAAACUACAGCUUGAGGGGCAGUGCCAAGAGCAAAGUGAUGAGGAGGAGAGAAAGCUAGAGUUUCAGGAAACUUUCAACAAAGAUUUCAUGGUAGUUGCUGCAACAAAUAGACCAGAUAUGUUGGAUGAUGCCUUAUUGCGUCCUGGAAGGUUGGACAAGAUGAUCUAUAUUCCACCCCCAGAUCUGAAGGGAAGACUUUCCAUUUUGAGAAUCUGCACUGAAAAAAUUCCAUUGGACACUGAUGUGUCACUACAAGAUGUGGCAGCCCUAACAGACCUCUUCUCUGGAGCUGAUAUUGAAAAUCUGUGCAAGGAGGCUGCUUUGUUGGCUUUGCAAGAGAAUGGACUCGAAGCAACUGCUGUAAAACACGAGCAUUUUGUGAAAUCGUUGAAGACUGUAAAACCAUCCUUAAACGUAAAAGACUUGGAAUUUUAUGAAAAAUUUUAUAAUCAAGAAUUAGGCUCUUGAAUCAAAAAGGAGUGGCAUAGGGAGCCAGCAGAGCAUGCAGUAAAGGCAGCCUCCUCUCCCUCUCGCUGCUUUCCAAGGCACAGGAGAGAAGGAGACAAACAUGUGCAGGAGUCAUCUGCUGGCACCAUUCAUCUCCAGCCUUCCCCUGGCACCUCUCUGAGCUCUGGAAGGGGCAGGC